CUGAUGGCCCCACAAGACUGAAGUCUUCUAUUUAUCUACAGAAUAAACACAGUCUAGGCAGCAGCAGUGCAAGCACCCCACACAGCCCCGUCAAUGUGCCUCAGUCCUGUUCUAAUCUAGGAGUAAGAAUAAUUCAGUCUGUGGCUCUGAUUCUCCUCUCACUCAU
rnacentral:sRNA from 1 species